UACGGAGGGUGCAAGCGUUGUCCGGAAUCACUGGGCGUAAAGGGUGCGUAGGCGGGUCUUUAAGUCAGGGGUGAAGUCCUGGAGCUCAACUCCAGAACUGCCUUUGAUACUGAGGAUCUUGAGUUCGGGAGAGGUGAGUGGAACUGCGAGUGUAGAGGUGAAAUUCGUAGAUAUUCGCAAGAACACCAGUGGCGAAGGCGGCUCACUGGCCCGAUACUGACGCUGAGGCACGAAAGCGUGGGGAGCAAACAGGG
rnacentral:rRNA from 1 species